rnacentral:rRNA from 1 species
AUUGAACGCUGGCGGCAGGCCUAACACAUGCAAGUCGAGCGAGCGGCGGACGGGUGAGUAAUGUAUGGGGAUCUGCCCGAUAGAGGGGGAUAACUACUGGAAACGGUGGCUAAUACCGCAUACUAUCGGAUGAACCCAGAUGGGAUUAGCUAGUAGGUGGGGUAAAGGCUCACCUAGGCGACGAUCCCUAGCUGGUAUGAGAGGAUGACCAGCCACACUGGAACUGAGCCACGGUCCAGACUCCUGUGGUAGGCAGCAGUGGGGAAUAUUGCACAAUGGGCGGAAGCCUGAUACAGCCAUGCCGCGUGUGUGAAGAAGGCCUUCGGGUUGUAAAGCACUUUCAGCGAGGAGGCGUUACUCGCAGAAGAAGCACCGGCUAACUCCGUGCCAGCCGCCGCGGUAAUAC